rnacentral:miRNA from 1 species
UAAGGCAUGAUCUGAGUCUAU